rnacentral:rRNA from 1 species
ACCCAGCGACGCCGCGUGCGGGAUGAAGGCCUUCGGGUUGUAAACCGCUUUCAGCAGGGAAGAAGCGAAAGUGACGGUACCUGCAUAAGAAGCACCGGCUAACUAUGUGCCAGCAGCCGCGGUAAUACAUAGGGUGCAAGCGUUGUCCGGAAUUAUUGGGCGUAAAGAGCUCGUAGGUGGUUCGUCACGUCGGAUGUGAAACUCUGGGGCUUAACCCCUGACCUGUAUUUCGAUACGGGCGAGCUAGGAGUAUGGUAGGGAAGACUGGAAUU